GUAUCUGUUAAGCGUUAUGACCUUCACAAUUGGAAACUCGACCUUGAAGCUGUACUUCCCUGAUUUUGUGAUGAAACAAGGGGCGACCUUCCAACAUGCGUCGUCACUAGUCUCAGUUAUCGGUGUCGGCAGCAUUGUGUCCAGGAUCUGUUUGGGAUUUGCUGCAACAGACCCCAAGAUUGGACCAUCGCUUCUGUACUCUGGGGUCAAUGGUCUGACUUGUGUCCUUGUGUUCUUCAUACCCCCUUAACUCGAACGUCUGUGUUGAGGAUCAUAUUUUCUUUUGUUAUGGAGUAUAUAAUGGUGGCAUAUGGACCCUUUUAACCCAAUAACAUAUGCCAUUGUGGGAGUACAUCAUCUAGCAUCCGCCAUGGGUUGGGUGAUGUUUACGUGCGGGAUGGGGUACCUCAUCGGAGGGCCCAUAGCAGGAAUGCUGUAUGAGGCGACGGAGAUUAUCAGACUGCCUUCAUAUUUUCAGCCUCGUCUUUUCUUCUGGCCUCCAUUCUUGGUUUACUGAUGAACUGUGCAAGGUCAGAACCUCCGGACGUGGAGACAACACCUACUGCAACCCUACCGGAAAGAGAGGCCUUGAAAUCUUAAAUAAAGCUGACGUUUGUGUUACAGGA